GACGAACGCUGGCGGCGUGCCUAAUACAUGCAAGUCGAGCGAAUGGAUUAAGAGCUUGCUCUUAUGAAGUUAGCGGCGGACGGGUGAGUAACACGUGGGUAACCUGCCCAUAAGACUGGGAUAACUCCGGGAAACCGGGGCUAAUACCGGAUAACAUUUUGAACCGCAUGGUUCGAAAUUGAAAGGCGGCUUCGGCUGUCACUUAUGGAUGGACCCGCGUCGCAUUAGCUAGUUGGUGAGGUAACGGCACACCAAGGCAACGAUGCGUAGCCGACCUGGGUGUGUGAUGGGCCACACUGGGACUGAGACACGGCCCAGACUCCUACGGGAGGCAGCAGUAGGGAAUCUUCCGCAAUGGACGAAAGUCUGGCGGAGCAACGCCGCGUGAGUGAUGAAGGCUUUCGGGUCGUAAAACUCUGUUGUUAGGGAAGAACAAGUGCUAGUUGAAUAAGCUGGCACCUUGACGGUACCUAACCAGAAAGCCACGGCUAACUACGUGCCAGCAGCCGCCGUAA
rnacentral:rRNA from 1 species